UACGGAGGAUCCGAGCGUUAUCCGGAUUUAUUGGGUUUAAAGGGAGCGUAGGUGGAUUGUUAAGUCAGUUGUGAAAGUUUGCGGCUCAACCGUAAAAUUGCAGUUGAAACUGGCAGUCUUGAGUACAGUAGAGGUGGGCGGAAUUCGUGGUGUAGCGGUGAAAUGCUUAGAUAUCACGAAGAACUCCGAUUGCGAAGGCAGCAUGCCGGCUUCCGACUGACGCUGAAGCACGAAAGCGUGGGGAUCGAACAGG
rnacentral:rRNA from 1 species